ensembl:lncRNA
GAGUUUUCUUGAUUUCCCUAGUAGCUCAGAUGGUAAAGAAUCUGCCUACAGUGCAGGAGACCUGGGUUCGAUCCCUGGGUCAGGAAGAUCCCCUGGCGAAAGGGAACGGCAACCUACUCCAGUAUUCUUGCCUGGAGAAUCCCAUGGACAGAAAAGCCUGGAGGGCUGAAGUCCAUGGGGUCGCAUAGAGUCGGACAGAACUGAGUGAUCAACACACACACAGCUUUCUUAGGAGUCUCCUCCGUCAUCUUUCUGAUCUGGUCUGAGACAAGAUGUUUAUGACUGAGUUACUUCUGCAACUUCUCAUCUGUUGGUGGGUGUUAUACCUGCUGCGGACUAAAGUCAGGGAGCUGGACCUGGGCAGCUUGAUUAACUGGAUUUGGACACCAUGGCUUGACUCCACAAGCACCCAACUGUCCCCGACUUGCCUUGGCUCCUCGCCACAUGCGCAUCUGUGUGGCCCGUGGGGAAAGGUCAAGGUCAUGCGGCUUUUUCAUAGAGGCCAUUUGGUCACAUGGAUUCCCAGCAAGAGAAGGAGGAUGAAUCACAGCAGCUCCAUCGCCCUGUAACAAACAGCUCCGAACGCAUGCCCCACUGAGCAU